rnacentral:rRNA from 1 species
CAUGCCUUACACAGUGCAGUCGAACGGUACGGCUUCGGGUGCCGACGAGUGGCGAACGGUGAGUAAUGCAUCGGAACGUUACCUUUCAGGUGGGGAAUAACGUAGCGAAAGUUACGCUAAUACCGCAUAUUCUGUGAGCAGGAAAGCAGGGGAUCGCAAGACCUUGUGCUGAUUGAGCGGCCGAUGUCAGAUUAGCUAGUUGGUGAGGUAAAGGCUCACCAAGGCGACGAUCUGUAGCGGGUCUGAGAGGAUGAUCCGCCACACUGGAACUGAGACACGGUCCAGACUCCUACGGGAGGCAGCAGUGGGGAAUUUUGGACAAUGGGGGCAACCCUGAUCCAGCCAUGCCGCGUGAGUGAAGAAGGCCUUCGGGUUGUAAAGCUCUUUCGGCCGGGAAGAAAUCGCAUGGGUUAAUACCCUGUGCGGAUGACGGUACCGGCAUAAGAAGCACCGGCUAACUACGUG